rnacentral:rRNA from 1 species
CUACUAGGGUUUCUAAUCCUGUUUGCUACCCACGCUUUCGCGUCUCAGCGUCAGUGACCGUCCAGGUGGCCGCCUUCGCCACCGGUGUUCCUCCCCAUAUCUACGAAUUUCACCUCUACUUGGGGAAUUCCGCCACCCUCUCCGGUACUCAAGCCCGACAGUUUCGAACGCACUUCCUCGGUUGAGCCGAGGGCUUUCACAUCCGACUUGUCAGGCCGCCUACACGCGCUUUACGCCCAAUAAUUCCGAACAACGCUUGCACCCUCUGUAUUACCGCGGCUGCUGGCAC